CUUCAGCGAGCCCAGCCACAACGGCCGGUCCGGCGAGUGCUCCUGACCGUACGUCGCGAUCAGCGCCUGCGCCUC
rnacentral:antisense_RNA from 1 species